rnacentral:misc_RNA from 1 species
AGCAUCCUUGCCAGUAGCAAGCUGCUACAAUACCCACAUAUCAAUGAUCACAGCUACUGACCUGAUGAUUGCCUAUCAAUAUUUAGUAAUAGCAAGGUUGAGGGAUUGACAAAGGAAGAUGAUCCUACACGUAGACAAAAAAUAAUUUGCAAACAAUUUAACAUAUUCAACACAGUAUUAUGAAAACCCUAUCAUCACUCCACAUUCUUGUGCCAAUACUAAACAUCAAUUAAAUAUAAAAUCCUUGUAGCAAAUCCAUGCACCAUUACCCACGACUUCAAACUGACAGAAAUACUUAUGCAAAUUGCUCAAUAUUCCCACCAGCAGUAAGCCCUCUACAAAACCCUUAAAUGUUCUAUCAAUGAUCACAGCUGCUGUUGUGAUGAGUGCCUGUCAAUUUCUAUCCAUUUGGUAAUGCUGAGGGAUUGAUGAGGAAGAGAUAAAAAGCAAAGGACAGAUUGCUGCUGAAGGUCCAUAGAAGAAGAAUAAGCUGGAAAUAUAUUUAGUAUGAGUUUAAAUAUGGGAAUCAGUGGGAAAGAGAGAUGGGAAGGGAAAGAAAUACAGCACGGAAAGAAAUUGUGUAGAGGAGCAGAACAUUCCAAAAAGAAAAGAUGAGGGAGAGAAAAAGAAUGGAAAAAGUGAAAGAGGAAGCACUGAUUUGGUCUUGCCUUUUGGAGCUUUCAAGUAAUUUUGCAGUAAAUGCAUGUUUGUGUGAGCA